AGCGAACGCUGGCGGCAUGCCUAACACAUGCAAGUCGCGCGGUCAGCAAUGGCAGCGGCGGACGGGUGCGUAACGCGUAGGAACGUGUCCUGAGGUGGGGGACAACCCUGGGAAACUGGGGCUAAUACCGCAUAUGGGCUGAGGCCCAAAGCCGAAAGGCGCCUUAGGAGCGGCCUGCGUCCGAUUAGCUAGUUGGUGGGGUAACUGCCUACCAAGGCUCCGAUCGGUAGCUGGUCUGAGAGGACGAUCA
rnacentral:rRNA from 1 species